rnacentral:rRNA from 1 species
ACCUGAAACCGUGUACGUACAAGCAGUGGGAGCACCUUCGGGUGUGACUGCGUACCUUUUGUAUAAUGGGUCAGCGACUUAUAUUCUGUAGCAAGGUAAACCGUAUAGGGGAGCCGAAGGGAAACCGAGUCUUAACUGGGAGUUAAGUUGCAGGGUAUAGACCCGAAACCCGGUGAACUAGCCAUGGGCAGGUUGAAGGUUGGGUAACACUCACUGGAGGACCGAACCGACUAAUUUUGAAAAAUUAGCGGAUGACCUGUGGCUGGGGGUGAAAUGCCAAUCAAACCGGGAGAUAGCUGGUUCUCCCCGAAAGCUAUUUAGGUAGCGCCUAGUGAACUCAUCUUCGGGGGUAGUGCACUGUUUCGGCUAGGGGGCCAUCCCGGCU